rnacentral:lncRNA from 1 species
CACAGAUCACAAAUUUUAUAAAUCACAACUAAAAUUUUUAUGUUACAUAUUAUUUAUUAUUACAACAUGUUAUUUUUUAGUCACAAGAUAUUCAAAUUAUUCAGAGUCUCAAAUAAUUAAUCACAAACCCUCCUAAUCCCACCACCUACGCCACGCAACCCCAAUCCUCCAUGGCACUACCGCCGCCACUUCUUCCAGCAAAUAUCAUUGUCAACUUCAAAAUCAUCACAACCACCAACAAAACAUAGCCACCAACAAGAUCCAACAAAAUCCUCGCAACUGUCGCCCAAAAAUACCAGCAAAUCAGAUCCACAAUAAAAAGCUGCACCACCACGACCACCUGUGCCACCUCUACAAGCACCACCACCACUCCAACAUUGUCAACAGCCAAAUGUUGUACACAACACCACCACAAUGACCUGCACCACCAACUAACCAACAAAACUACCAUGGUGGCGCAGAGCAACGACAAGCACAACGUAGCAGCUGUGCACGAAGCGACAGGGAAUCGUAGUGGCGAUGCAUGCCUUGUCGCUGUUGCACACAUAUGUUUCUCUAUUGCAGAUCCCCUUUGACUCUCUUGACUUGUUUUGUGUGGUGUCGAUAAUUGAGGUGAAGAUAGUGGAUUUGUAGUGGUGAUGGUAUUGGCAGAGGUGAUGGCUACGGAUUUGGGAAUUUUUUUGGUGGGUGUGGUAAGGUGGUUGAGUGUGGUGCUAGCGAGGAGUUGUCGACGACGAACGGUUAGAGAGAAGACAGAAUGUGGGAUAGAGAGAUGAGAGACAAUGGAGAUGAUAAAAAUGGUUAGGGCUUUGUUGUGUGCGGUUGGGUAUGGAUUAGGAGGGAUGAAUAUGUAUAUUUAUUUUUAAGCUUG